GCAACAUUCCCAGCGCCAGCAAAAAUCUGGAUUUUAACUGAAAGAUGAUCAAGAAGAUCUAGGUGAUGGUUUACAUCCAGCACUUGCACUCUGAUGACCCUGAACACCCCAGGAAGCUGCGACUGGUGUGGAAGGGAAACGAGCCCCACUGCAUUGCCCGCUGCCUCCACUCCUAAGGAGCCUGUAAAAUGACAAAGGGAUGCGACCCUCCUGCAACCCAUUUCACCUCCAGUCUUCAGCACAUCCACUGCCAAGUCCUGCUUUGCAUCCCAUCAUCAUCAUACUUCAGCCAUCCCCCUCUUCACCUCCACCACCAGUGUCUAGACAUUGUC